CGCAGGUCGUGGCGACGGUCUUGGCCGCUUCGGUCUUGCGGGCCGGCGUGGCGCGGCCGAAGGCAACGACGUCGUCGUGGUGGUCGGCGGUCUCGCGG
rnacentral:tRNA from 3 species